AGCCAUGCAUGUCUAGUACAUACCUUUGCACGGUGAAACCGCGAAUGGCUCAUUAAAUCAGUUAUGGUUCCUUAGAUCGUUCAUAUUACAUGGAUAACUGUGGUAAUUCUAGAGCUAAUACAUGCAAAAAGCUCCGACCGUAUGGGAAGAGCGCUUUUAUUAGACCAAAACCAAUGGGGUGGCAACAUCCCUUUGUCUGGUGACUCUGGAUAACUUUGUGCUGAUCGCAUGGCCUCGAGCCGGCGACGUAUCUUUCAAGUGUCUGCCCUAUCAACUUUCGAUGGUAAGCGACUUGCCUACCAUGGUUGUAACGGGUAACGGGGAAUCAGGGUUCGAUUCCGGAGAGGGAGCAUGAGAAAUGGCUACCACAUCUACGGAAGGCAGCAGGCGCGCAAAUUACCCACUCCUAGAUCGGGGAGGUAGUGACGAAAAAUAACAAUACCGGACUCUAUGAGGCUCGGUAAUUGAAAUGAGUACAGUUUAAAACCCUUAACGAGGAUCUAUUGGAGGGCAAGUCUGGU
rnacentral:rRNA from 1 species